rnacentral:rRNA from 1 species
GUCGAGCGAACAGACGAGGAGCUUGCUCCUCUGACGUUAGCGGCGGACGGGUGAGUAACACGUGGAUAACCUACCUAUAAGACUGGGAUAACUUCGGGAAACCGGAGCUAAUACCGGAUAAUAUAUUGAACCGCAUGGUUCAAUAGUGAAAGACGGUUUUGCUGUCACUUAUAGAUGGAUCCGCGCCGCAUUAGCUAGUUGGUAAGGUAACGGCUUACCAAGGCAACGAUGCGUAGCCGACCUGAGAGGGUGAUCGGCCACACUGGAACUGAGACACGGUCCAGACUCCUACGGGAGGCAGCAGUAGGGAAUCUUCCGCAAUGGGCGAAAGCUUGACGGAGCAACGCCGCGUGAGUGAUGAAGGUCUUCGGAUCGUAAAACUCUGUUAUUAGGGAAGAACAAAUGUGUAAGUAACUAUGCACGUCUUGACGGUACCUAAUCAGAAAGCCACGGCUAACUACGUGCCAGCAGCCGCGGUAAUACGUAGGUGGCAAGCGUUAUCCGGAAUUAUUGGGCGUAAAGCGCGCGUAGGCGGUUUUUUAAGUCUGAUGUGAAAGCCCACGGCUCAACCGUGGAGGGUCAUUGGAAACUGGAAAACUUGAGUGCAGAAGAGGAAAGUGGAAUUCCAUGUGUAGCGGUGAAAUGCGCAGAGAUAUGGAGGAACACCAGUGGCGAA